GAGCAAAGGUGUCUGAUAAUAUAAUUAUCACACGGAAGGUUGGCCAUUUGAAUAAGCAGUUAUCCGUGCCUCUCAAAUUUCUAUCGUUUUGAGUAGGCUUCGAACAUGUUGCCACAUU